rnacentral:rRNA from 1 species
GACGAACGCUGGCGGCGCGCUUAACACAUGCAAGUCGAGCGAUGAAAUUUCGACAGAUCCCUUCGGGGUGAAGAUGAAAUGGAUUAGCGGCGGACGGGCGAGUAACACGUGAGUAACCUGCCUUUGACAUUGGGAUAGCCUCGGGAAACUGGGAUUAAUACCAAAUGACACUAACUGAUCACAUGAUCAAUUAGUCAAAGAAAUUCGGUCAAAGAUGGACUCGCGGCUGAUUAGCUAGUUGGUGAGGUAACGGCCCACCAAGGCGACGAUCAGUAGCCGGCCUGAGAGGGUGAUCGGCCACAUUGGAACUGAGACACGGUCCAAACUCCUACGGGAGGCAGCAGUGGGGAAUAUUGCACAAUGGGGGAAACCCUGAUGCAGCGACGCCGCGUGAGCGAAGAAGGCCUUCGGGUCGUAAAGCUCUUUUAUGAGGGAAGAUAAUGACGGUACCUCAAGAAAAAGCCCCGGCUAACUACGUG